GGCUUGAAACUCAGUCCUUAACCCUAUCAUAUCUUUCUUCUUACAUAUUACACACUUAAUCAAUCAUAUCAAACACGAGUUUAAACUAGGAAAAAUUUGGGCUAUUACUCGAAGGGCCUUGCGCACAUGCGUAUGACACCAACACUCGCGGACAUGCCGUAUGCGCGCAUAGGAAAUGCACAGAUGCACAUCGUGUGUGAGGGAAUGUCGCAUGUGUGGGUGGGCCGCGCAUGCUCCAGCAUACUCACACACUACCAAGCAUGCAUGUGGGUAUGCUAACCGCUCAUGUUGCAUGCACAGUUUGAAUCUACAACAACCUUUGCUGAAAUUUCAUCAUUCUUUUGCAUAUUUUUCAUAAGUUCUUUAUUAAUAUCACAUGGGAUAAAACCUGCACC
rnacentral:lncRNA from 1 species